CGCAGACAAUAUAGCACGGAAGGAAAGAAAUAAGAAUUAUAAGGUUUAUUUUCCAACCCCCUAUAAGAUUCAUUUAACAAAGAACAGUUACACUUACGGAGGAUUUUCUACACGUCCUGCGGUCUUCCUGUUUCUUUUAAACAGAAGAUACGCAUACCCUUAUCACUGUAUCAUCUGUGGAUAUAUCUUCCUAUUUACUUAGUACGCUGGCGACAGUCGAUUGUAAAAAAGAUUUAAACUAUGGCUCAUUUACCAAUGACAUUGCUUUAUUCUGCUGAAAAUCCUUUUAAAAGCAGUUUAUUGGCAUCAGGGCUUGAAGCAUUUGCUCGCGCUUCCUUGGGAAUAAACGAUCUUCAGUUGUGUAGAGUGGAACAGAGGAAGUUGCUAUGAAACGUAGGGGCAAGUUGUAAACUACAGAAUUCCUUUUUAGAAAUAAGUUAUAGAAUGAGUUCUCCUAAAGUUUAACUAGUUAGUCUCAAAUACACCGAAGUCAACAAUUCUAAAUAUUUUAGCUAAGAUACUACCAGUUCGCGACUCAUAUUUAAUAACAACCUUUUAACUAAUUAGACCUUGACUAUAUUGCUUGAGAUUCUUAAUAAAUUUUAGUCAUUCCCAAUGCAGGGUCGGCUGAACAUACGGACUUAUAGUGCUUCUUUA